CCUCUUCAUGAGAAGUGGGACAAAUUUAGAGUCUAGUAUGAAACUUCAGGGGUGAGAAUUAGGACCAAUGGAUAGAAACUGUAUGGACUCAGACUUGACUCAAUAAUAAGGUGAAUGUCCUUUACAUUUUUUUAAAUUCACAAGCAACACAUAUUCAUUAUAUAAAUGAGAAAGUACAGAUACAAAACAUUAAAAAAAUUGUAUUUAUUAUUAAAUAGAGAAUCUCUAUUUAAUACUUAGUUUCUUUCUUUUUUUUCCAUUAAAGAACUAGCCAAUUAAGAUUUUUUUCCCUCUAAAUCACAGAACUCAAAAUAUAUAUGCAUUUUAAAAUCAAACCAAAACAGCUGAUUUUUUUAAGAUUUUCUGGUUGUGAAAUACUAGAUACAUUUGCUAAUUUUUAAAUGUUUUUGGUUCCCAGUUGUGCUGGUGCCCUCAGCAAAUAAAUGUAUGAUUCACCUGUCAGUGACUGAGAUUCAAGGACUGGCUCGUGUAGCUGUGCCCUGCAUGGGGGUGGAGAUGUUUAGACUGAGCUGACAGCCCUGUCAGGGCCCUGUGCAGGAGAUGCCUACUGUUGGGCUGAUCUCUAAAUUCCUGGGUUAGUUUGCAAGCAUGGCUGUAACAAAGUACCACAAACUGGGUGGCGUAAAAAAACCAGAAAUGCAUCGUUUCACAGUUCUGGAGGCUAGAAAUUAGAAAUCAAGGUGUUGGGAGGAUUGGCUCCUAGAGGCCAUUCUGAAUGCUAAAUAAAUCCUGUCUGUUGAUGCCAGGGGCUGUGUACCUUCUGACACCCUCAAAUAAUUCA
rnacentral:lncRNA from 1 species